UACGUAGGGCGCAAGCGUUGUCCCGGAAUUAUUGGGCGUAAAGAGCUCGUAGGCGGUGUGUCGCGUCGGCCGUGAAAACCUGGGGCUCAACUCUGGGCGUGCGGUCGAUACGGGCAUCACUUGAGUUCGGCAGGGGAGACUGGAAUUCCUGGUGUAGCGGUGAAAUGCGCAGAUAUCAGGAGGAACACCGGUGGCGAAGGCGGGUCUCUGGGCCGAUACUGACGCUGAG
rnacentral:rRNA from 1 species